rnacentral:rRNA from 1 species
ACCUGCGGAAGGAUCAUUAAUGAAUUUAGAUUGAACCAUAGGCGAAAGCCAGUGGUUCUUCUUUCAUAUCCAUAACACCUGUGCACUGUUGGAUGCUUGCAUCCACUUUUAAACUAAACAUUAUUGUAACAAAUGUAGUCUUAUUAUAACAUAAUAAAACUUUCAACAACGGAUCUCUUGGCUCUCGCAUCGAUGAAGAACGCAGCGAAAUGCGAUAAGUAAUGUGAAUUGCAGAAUUCAGUGAAUCAUCGAAUCUUUGAACGCACCUUGCGCUCCUUGGUAUUCCGAGGAGCAUGCCUGUUUGAGUGUCAUGAAACCCUCAAACCCAAGUUUUGGAUUUCGAUCCAUGCUUGAGUUUGGAUUUGGAUGUUUGCCGGUGAUGAACCGACUCAUCUUAAAAGUAUUAGCUUGGAUCUGUCUAUAUGACUGGUUUGACUUGGCAUAAUAAGUAUUUUGCUGAGGACAUCUUCGGAUGGCCAGGACCUAGACUACUGUCUGCUA